rnacentral:rRNA from 1 species
GACGAACGCUGGCGGCGUGCUUAACACAUGCAAGUCGAACGGAAAGGCCCCUUUCUGGGUACUCGAGUGGCGAACGGGUGCGUAACACUUGCGUAACCUGCCCUUGACUUCGGGAUAUCUUCAGCAAACUGGGGCUAAUACCGGAUCGGAAUCCUUUCUUCAUGGUGGGGGUUGGAAAGCUUCGGCGGUUUUGGCUGGACUCUCGGCUUAUCAGCUUGUUGUUUGGGUAGUGGCUUACCAAGGCGUUGACGGGUAGCCGGACUGAGAGGGCGACCGGCCACAUUGAGACUGAGAUAAGGAACAGAUUGCUAAGGGAGGCAGAAGGGGGGAAGAAUGAACAAUGGGCGGAAGGCUGAUGAAGCAACGCCGCGUGAGGGAUGACGGCGUUCGGGUUGAAAACCGAAUGCAGAAGGAGCGAAGCAUGUGGUGACGGUACCUGCAGAAGAAGAACCGGCUAACUACGUG